GGCAUUUUUAUAAAAAACGCCUCAAAAAAAUCAAUGCGCGGUUUUAUUCUCAAAUUUCCCCUCUCUAAAACCCCGAAAAUUUUUCCCCUAAAAUCAAUAUCCUCAAAACACUCCCAAUCUCACCCUUCUAUUUCUCUUUUCAAUCAAGAAAGUCUCCAGCAGCAGUCUUGAUUUGGUUUCCAGUUAGACUCUGAGAUAGAAGAGAUGGCAGUGAACCAGACGGCGGCGUUGAAGGUGGGGUUGUGUCUAUUGGCAUUUCAUGGAAGGACUGCAAUACAAUAGCCUCGAUCUCGUAACUCCAAAGCCUUCCUAUUUGCUACCAGUUUUGGUAGUUUCAAGAAGCUUAUUUUUUGCUUUAUUCCUCAGACGAAGUCAUCAGUCUCACAAAGGAAGAAAUUUCAACUUGUUUUUUACAUCUAAACGAAAAAAAUAAUGCCUAACAUUGUUUCAGAGCACUUGCUGCAAAGAGGAACAGGUAUCAAAGACAGAAGUCAUUGAUGCUGCUUGAAAUGGAGAGUCAGCACGCGAAGGGGUUACCAUCAGUUCCCCUCAACCCCCAUUAGUAGUCAAACAGCCAGCUUUGGAAAGGAUUGAGCAAUGCUUCCUUUACAGCCACUCAGGAGCGGGAAACUACUUUGAAUCAGCUACUAAUAGAGCUUGAUGGGUUUGAUACUGGCAAAGGUGUUAUAUUUUCGGCUGCUACAAAUCGUAGAGAUUUGUUAGAUCCUGCACUUCUCAGGCAAGGUCGUUUUGAUCGCGAGAGUCAGGCCUCGAUCUCGAUGAACAAAUCUCGCAGCUGAUGCAAUGUAAGCCACUUUCGGAGCAGCAGGUCAGAGCAUUAUGCGACAAGGCAUAAAAUAUGCAUCUCAAAGACUAGAUACAUUUGCAUGUGUUAGGCAAAAUGGUUGAACAAGCAAUUGAGCAAAUUAUGGCCUUUUAUUGCAGAGGUGCAUACUUUGGCUUUCUGUUCCGGUGUUUUGGAUUCUCUGGCGGUUGAAUUGAAAGCAUCAAAGGACUUCUCUAAGUUAUAUGCAGGAAUUGCAAUACUUUGGCAUCACAUAAGCUUGAACCAGCCCUCUGUUGUGUAUUGUUUCUUCUUUUUUUUGAUCUUUUUCUUUUGAUUAAUGAGAGGUGAUGAUGAAUUGACAUUCUUUUCUCACGAGGAUGAAUUUUAUUUUAGAAAUUGUAAUACUUUGUGUGUUUGUGUGUGUUAUUUUUAUGUAUUAAAUUACAUAUUGAAUCAAUCUUUAUGUAUUAAAUUUAAAUUCAUUAAUUUUUA